rnacentral:pre_miRNA from 1 species
GAUGUACUCCCUCCAUUCAGAAUUACUUGUCAUAGAAAUGGAUGUAUCUAGAUGUAUUUUAGUUCUAGAUACAUCCAUUUCCGAGACAAGUAAUUCUGAACGGAGGGAGUACAUA